UGACUGCGAAAUGUGCACCAGCUGCAGGUCAGAUGCCACAGUAUCCUGGAAGCAUGGUAGGACAGAUGCCACCCGCUGGUACAACACUGGCAGCAGCAUGACUGUGCUCGGGAUCCAGAGCGGUGACAUGUUCAAAUUCAGAAGAUGAGAGCAUUCAAGUUAUGAACAUGCCAAAGCGUUGACUGGGAUGGACCUGGAAAGGCUAAUAAUUUCUGUGUUUUUUCUUCUCCAUGAUGCUCUCUGCUCUUCAGGGGUCUGACUAAUAGUAGAAGUGCUACAACACUUUCCGCUGUCUUAGACCGUGUAUUUGCAGCCAAGUGAUGUCAAUCCAAAAGGUUUACAUAAGUAUAAUAAGCAUCCAAAUUUCUGCACUGGACCUCUAUCCAUUAUUUGUUGAUCAUUACUAUGAAGAUCCUUUUCGGGGACCCAGUUCUGCAAAUGGUUAAGUGCGUGAGCAGCUUUCUCAGAUUUAUUGACUCAUGGUCAUUUGCAGGAUCAGAAUAUGGAAUAUUUGUUUUCUAUUCAAUAAAUCUCCCGCUUAAGUUACGUCUUCGUGGCUCCAGGAAAAGACUUCAGUCAUUUAAGAUGAAUGUCUUGAACUCUUCUCAGUGUUGAGAAUCCAUUCUCGGACAAGGAGGCAACAAGCACAUGGGAGAGAAGUCAGAACAAGAGUUUAGCUAGUCCUUAACCUUAGAGAGGGCUGUCUAAUUGUUGCAAUUUACGUAAAAUCAUGAAAUGAUCAUGCCUUCCCCAGGUACAACCCAUUGAAGUUUGUGCUGCAGACUGGUCUCAAGGAGCUCCAGCUGGGCUUCUGCUAGGCAAGCCCAUGAGGAGAGGUGCUGCCCAGCAGCACUCCUGGUGCAUGCCACCUCCUCAUGGGCACCCAGCCAGCCUGGGGCCAGACUGAAGGGAGCCUCGAGCAGCUGCUGAGGCUGGGUCCUCAGCACCAACUCACUCCAGAGAUCUGCUCCAACUGCAUCAUAUUGCUUGUUGAUACAGGCAAAGCUGUGGCCUUCCCCAAAACCCAUCUUGGUGAUGAAGCUCAAAGUUUUGAAAAUUGCUGAAUGUUCCUCAGGAUAACUGCAAACAGCAAAAGGGAAGCAAGGAAAGAGAAGUUAGGAAAUCUUGUUUGGAUAAAGGCAGCAGAGCCCUUACCUUUCACCCACUUUGUAGCUGAACUUUUCAUACAGUUUAGAGAAAAGACUUAACCUCAUCUUCCUCUAACCUCCUCCCAUACCGCCUCCAUCUCUGGCAGCCUCCUCUGACUCCUCAUUGUGCUGCUGUUUGCAGAACCUCUUGCAGCACCCUGGGCAAGUACACAGCAUUUGAGGGUAUUUCUGAUCCAUUUGGAGACCCUAGAGCUGCUCCUUUCAGUGUUCCCUAGGUGAUCCACCUUGGCUGGGGACCCUCUACUUGAUAAGAAGACUACAGAAAUACUUGGACCACAGAAAUGAGGGGUAAAGUCUUACCAUAGUGAAGUUAAUAGGAGGUUUUCCUUCACCUUCGUCUGGAUGAGAUUUUGCCUGAGAGCUACUUGCCCUUAGCAUCGACAUGAGGGAGCAGUGUGCAGCCACAAAACUUUCAACUGGUUACAAAACUGAACUCAGAAAGAAGAGUUCAGGGCCUGGUCCUGCUGCUCUUCCCCAUUGCUUAGGGAAUGGAUUUAGAAGGUCUUGUAUGACAAGGAAAAUCAAAAGAGUCCUGAAAUUGUGCAUGGAGGCAUCACAAGUGCAUGAGGACAAUUGCUGGGAAUUUGGAAACCUGCAUUAUAGUGGGAGAACAGCAUCUGUCAUGUCUUUGUUGCAUUUAGGAUAAGUCAGCCUGUACGCACCAACAGCUGUUUGUGUGAUACUCAGAUAUCACAGCAUUCUCAACCUACUCCCUUCUCUGGGUUAUGGAGAGGGCACUGCCAACACCUCAGAAAUCCCCUCUUGUCGGAAGAUAACUUUUGAGGUAGAGAUGUUUUAAAAAUAACUCCAAAGACAACAAACACAUGAAGGCUAAAGGACAAAUGGGAGGAUGACUGCCGACUUCACAUUUCUCUCCUUACUUCAGAAUCCAAAUGCUGUAAGGUUUGUUUCCAGUUUCAGACUUCAAUUAUUGUUUUUUUUUCUUGACUGAGGAUGAAUGAUGAAAAACAAGAAACUAGUAAUAAUGUUCUACAUCUGUUUGGCAAACAGUUUCUCGUUCUUGCUUUUAGCAUGUUCAACAGCUCUAUGUCUCUGCUGAUCUGAGAAUAUUUAGUGAGCAGCAAGGGUGAAAUAUAUUGACUUCUCAGUGGCUAUAUUAAAAUUGCAAUGAGAAAAACAGAAGAGAGAGAAAACUUCAAAGUUCUACUUCUUGUAUGGCUUGGCACGUUCUUCUUUAUUUAUUAUCUGUACUGGUAUAGUGCCUGCAUCAGGCAGCAGUAGCCUGCUGUGCUUUGGAAAAUGUGUAACAAAAGUAUACUGCCCAUGGACCUGCCAAGCAAAGUCAGAGAGACUGCAGGGAGCGUAAAAGUCAUAGAAUUGAAGUGAUACACAACCAGGAGAAAGAUAAGCUUUAGGUCAAGUCUGUGGAGGAGAGAGAGUGGGAUCUUUGUUUCCAGAUGACAAAGCUGUAGGAGGUGGCAUGCAGUGGAAGCUGUUUUCAACACUGAUUUCCUUUAUCACAUUAAACAAUAACUUUUGUUCUCAAC
rnacentral:lncRNA from 7 species